AAUAAAAAAUACACAAGAAGCCGGUACAAAGACUGGCCAUUAUUAUUUACAUGACCUACGUGGAUAUAAAAUCUCGUCUAGAAUUUUGAAUCGCGUUGAAAGUAAUUACUCUCCUUUAUAUUAAAAUUAAACUUAAGAAUAAUAUCAUCCUACACUACAUAGCUUUUGCUUUAUUAGAUUAAACCUUAAACAAAUACCAUUGCACUAUACUUGCUUUACCCACAUGGGACAUCGUAAAAUUACGGUGUACGGCGCAAAAGUACACGUUUUUGUACUCGCUUCGCUACUAUUAGGGAGAAUCUUUUUAUUGUUUUUCUUUAACGCCAUUACUUGCAGCACAUAAUUUUUUAAACAGGUUUCCAGCAUUGUCAAUUUUCUCAAACGCUUUAAAAAACAAAUGAUAGGUAGCGCACAAGGUUUCUUCGCAUAUGUCUUUUCGACUUAUUCCAUUAUACAAUAUAGCUCCAUUUGUUUUUCAUUUAAUCUUAUUAAUAUGUUCCAAUAAACCCUCAAAAAUCGUUGGUUUUCCGGUCUAUCCCCACAUAGUUAAUAGACAUUACUACGCGUUAGGCGCGCGAAAUUUGAAAUUCGUCAUAAAAUAUUCAAAAUAGCUAAUUGCGAAAACGCCGUGAGUCAACCUUGAUAUAGACUAAUUGAGCUUUUUUACGGAAGAAGUAUAUCUUUAGGUAUGUAUAAACGAGUUUUGAGUCUAACUGAACUAACUAAUAGUAAUUUGUACGAAUCCUCCUGGCGAUGUCCUCUCAGAAAGCUAGAGUCCUUAGGAGGUACAAACAGAAAUACAGCUCACGGAGCAUGUACAGAUUAUGGACUCAUGAUUAGCAGCGCCUUAUGGAAUCUUCGUUGAACAUCGUAACGUAAGGCCAAAACUAACUCUUUAACAGUAUUUAUCUAUUGAUUCGCCGUAUAUAACGCUUGUAGCUGCGUUACAUGUUGGCAGCUGGAUUUUGAAUUCACCCACCGCUGCUUUUCAAGUCUCAGAUAGAGGAAUAUUUGACUGUAGCUAUUCUAAUUUGUGUUUUUUGAGAAACAACGGGUUUCAGUGUAGAAAAUUGUAAAGUUUUUGGGAAAAUGGUAUCUGACCAUCAGAAGGUCACGGACAAGAAUUUAGGAAAUAAAAAAAUUCGCAAAUCAAAGAUUUCCUUGAAUCUUUCUAACAUUUUUAGCCACCAAUACAUAUGCUAAUCAGUUAUCGAAUGAGAUCUAUUUUAUUAACAGUCGGCCCUGCCGGUUGAAGGCAUUAAGGUUUUGAUGUAGAGCCAUUUCAGUGUGUAUUACAGAGCGCAAGAGAUGGAUCAAUAAUCUUGCGCCCAUGUCAGUGCGAACCACAAUUAGAAAAUUUAAAAAAACACAAUUUGGACUGUUUAGUGCUCAUGCUUCAAGUUUCUCAUUGGCUAUUGCGUCAAUUACUGUUUUAAUUAGCAAUUCGUAGUGACAACAGCAAGUCCGAAAGAGUCGCGUCACUUGCGUUCAAUGGAGAGGAUGGUGUCCUCUAAAGACAUUACGCCCGGUGUCAGUUCCUUUGAUAGGAAUUUCUGUCAGUCCGUCUCGCGAGAAGAGAAAGCAGCGGGUGAGGGAGCCAAGAUUAUGAAGCGUUGAUACUACGUGUUAGGUUCAUCUUGGUGCAGCAACCCAUACUUGAAUUGCUAUAAUUUGCCGAAAAGAAAAGUUGAACCGAGAAAAUCAAGUAAUAUUUCACCGGCAUUUGAUGAAAAUAUUCGCGUUUUAAUUUAACCAAUGAAUUGCUGCUAAAGAGCGACGGAGAAGCAACAAUUGAUAGUCAUGAUCAAUCAAUGAGUUUGUUUCAUCAAAAGCGUUAUCAAAUUUGCUGAAAAAACCUUAAUCCAAAAAGAGGAGUCAGCUUUAUAAUGGACGCCUUAGUCACGGCAUUACUGGUUCAACCGCUCUCGCUCGUAUGUGGGUCGCGACGCCUCACAGGAUUGGGACUUCUGUUCCGCGUCCCGCUAACGAUUGUGGAUUUCAAAAAUGGAGAAGCGGACUCAUUUUGGCCCAGAUAUUAGUUACUUGUCGGCUUAGUAAGCAACUCGUGCAUCCGAGCAUGGCUGCGGGCGGCGAUUAUUAUCUGGUGCGCGAUGCCAU